rnacentral:lncRNA from 1 species
GGACCAUAGAGAAGAGGCAUCAAAUUAAGUCUGGGAGAGGAAGAGUCUGUCUGAGAAUGCUUCUCCAAGGAAGUGACAGCAACCCACAGCCUCCAGCUCAGAGCCGGGACAUGAGGCAGGAACACGGACACUUUCUCCCAAAGCACCUGACAUUCUGGCUCUCGGCAGUAGAUCGCUCUGAAAUUACAUCCUAACAGCCCUGCAAUCAGUCCUGUGUUAUUUGUCAUUCUUGAGAGAUGCCAGGCAAGAGCAGAGAACAAGAGAACAAGUUUGUGAACUUCUUGUCACCAACAGACAACUGAGACCCAAACAAAUGUCAGUGUUACUCUGAGAAGAAAAUAAUGGAGUGAUCCCCAAGAAAAAAAGCUCUGCAUAAUAUCAUAGCUUCUGAGGUUUGGAAAAUGUCCCUGGUGUCUGGAAAAAAAUGGAGAGAAUCACUUUACUCUUUCAGAUUAACUGGCAUUUCCAUCACCUCCAAAGCCGUUAGUGUUUAUAAAUACAUUAAUAAAAGAUUCUGAAACUCCCUUGGUGAAAGGUGAGUGUGGGUUCACAAUCCAAGAAGGCUGCACUUAAGAAGGAUUUUAACAGUAAGAAGUAGUAAGUGCCUUCUCGGUAACCUACGUGAGCCUGUCAACAGACUGCUUUCAUUUCAUUUCACAUCCUUUCCACUUGAGCAACAGGCAUGGGAAACAGAAUUGGCAGGAGGGGAGGUUCCAGAGGAGCCAUCAGCUUGCCUUUUUCUACAAGUUCCUGUGUGUAAAUUUAAAUGAGAUUCUG